GCUAUCCCAGAGACUACUAAAGGAUCAGGGAUUGUUCCCGAUGGCCAUCAAAAGAAUGCAGCUUUGGGGCACUUUACAGCACAGAUGUUAAUGAGGAAUUUUAAGUGCAAGCAGAGGGUCUGCCGCUUUUACUGCAAUCAAAAUUCACAAGAAAAUGGAAUCCUUUAUAUGCAAAACAAACAAUGCGGAGGAAAUAAAACAUUCAGGCGAGCUGUCAGGUCCUUUCAAGAAUCAAUACGAGGCUUUUCAUCUGCGUCCCAACCUCUUCCUGGACCAGAGCACCUUUGGGACUACGCAGAGUGAUUGGGCAAAGCCUUCCCCUUCCUAACCAGGCUCGAACAGCCCGCUCCCUGAAGCCAGGAGAGGGAUUAAAGAACGGGAGGUAACAGCUUCCCGCGGCCGUGCCUGGCGGAAGGCUCCCCUCGGUCUCUAAACCGAGGACUCGCUGCGGCGAGGCAGAAUCCCCGCGAAGGCGCUUCACAAAUGAAGUUCUCCUCUCCAUCUCAGGAGACUCCGU